rnacentral:lncRNA from 1 species
UGUUUUGAAGUCUGGACUUUGAGUGGUCUACCUACGUUGAAGGGAAUUUUUGGCAACGGAGGAAGAUGACCAGUGUCACACGGAGCAGGCUGGGAUUAAAGAGACAGUGCCCUUGGAAUGAAUGACAAAGUGACAGUAGUAACCUGCAUUUUGUAAAGCACCUCGUUAAGAUGCAUAUUCUCUUCAUAUUUAUUCCCCUUUCUAUAUCACUAGGUUUUAGAUAUUCCAGCUUGACUUAAACUGCAAAGUGGGACAUAAAGGGAGAAGCCACAAUCUAUGCUUGGGUCUGGAUUGUGCUGUAAUGCAGCGAACAAUGGUGAAAUGAAAUUGAUCAUUAAAAGGUGUCAAAAUAAGUCAAACCUCGGGGGAUGAGAAUUGGCACUCUGAAGUCCAGCUACUCUUCUUGUGAGGAGAGUAUUUCCAAAAUAUGAAAACAUUUGAGUCUUGUUUUAUUAUGAGAAACAGCUGUGGGGAUCCAUAGUCAGAUAUUUUGUAUGCCCAAUGAAGCAGUAGAACUAGAACUCAGAAAUAUGUAGCGUUAUGGAGGCAAGGAUUUCUUUAUGAGGUAUGGCAGUUACUGUAUGCUGGCGCUGCCUUCACUAGCCUAAGUGGCAGUAAGCCUAAUGGUUCUGUGCUCUGCAAAGCUGUGGAUUGACAACUGAAUUUAAAACAUUCUUCAUAACAAACAAGGAACACAAGGUAUGGGGACUAUUUGUAUAUUCUCAAUUUGGGGUAUUCCAUUUGAAUGAGCAGAUAGAAAACGAGUGAAAUCAACCUAAAAAUGACUCUGAGUCCCAUAAUUCUUGCUAAUAGUGGAACCUGUGACCAGCCUUUGUGGUCUAUCUUAGCUUAUCAACAGUUUCCUUUCAAAUCAUAUUUGAGCAAUCUGGAUUCCGUUCAAGCUUACUGUUUUAUUAUCUUACCACUAUUUUGGCACCAGUAUCUUGGUUUCUGCUCUCGCCAUAAAUCAAUUUAGCCCAUACCUGGGUCUUAGUGAAAACAUUUUUUUUAACUGGGGUAUUAUGCAGAGACAAAACUAAACAAACCUUAGUCUGGAGAAAAAGAGGCAAUAUUUUCUUUAUUCAUUAAAGCAUCAUCAAUCCUUACUCAGUCCUUCUUACAAAGCUUUCAUUUAUUACCAAUACUUGAAGUCUUUGUGACUCC